GCCAGGUACAUCUGGUGGUUCAUACACUCGCAACCUACACAAUACAAAAAUACUAUUUUACACUUCAUAGCGUACAAGCUCUUUUUAAGACAGAUUACACUUGUUAACAACAAGAAAAUUGAUGUAUUAAAAAUAAAACAUCAGUUAAUAGUCAACA